rnacentral:rRNA from 1 species
GACGAACGCUGGCGGCGUGCCUAAUACAUGCAAGUUGAGCGCUGAAGGUUGGUACUUGUACCGACUGGAUGAGCAGCGAACGGGUGAGUAACGCGUGGGGAAUCUGCCUUUGAGCGGGGGACAACAUUUGGAAACGAAUGCUAAUACCGCAUAAAAACUUUAAACACAAGUUUUAAGUUUGAAAGAUGCAAUUGCAUCACUCAAAGAUGAUCCCGCGUUGUAUUAGCUAGUUGGUGAGGUAAAGGCUCACCAAGGCGAUGAUACAUAGCCGACCUGAGAGGGUGAUCGGCCACAUUGGGACUGAGACACGGCCCAAACUCCUACGGGAGGCAGCAGUAGGGAAUCUUCGGCAAUGGACGAAAGUCUGACCGAGCAACGCCGCGUGAGUGAAGAAGGUUUUCGGAUCGUAAAACUCUGUUGGUAGAGAAGAACGUUGGUGAGAGUGGAAAGCUCAUUAAGUGACGGUAACUACCCAGAAAGGGACGGCUAACUACGUG